GGAGAGGGUCAUAGCUCAGUGGUAGAGAGCACGCACUUCGAACGCAGGUGGUCCCAGGUUCAAGUCCCUGGCAUCUCCA